GAUAAACGCUGGCGGCGCACAUAAGACAUGCAAGUCGAACGAACUUAACCUUAAUCUUUAUAUUUAGGAGCGGUUAGUGGCGGACUGGUGAGUAACACGUAAGCAAUCUGCCUAUCAGAGGGGAAUAACAGUGAGAAAUCACUGCUAAUACCGCAUAUGCUCCCACUACCACAUGGUAGAGAGAGGAAAGGAGAAAUCCGCUGAUAGAUGAGCUUGCGCCUGAUUAGCUAGUUGGUAAGGUAAUGGCUUACCAAGGCGACGAUCAGUAGCCGGACUGAGAGGUUGAACGGCCACAUUGGGACUGAGAUACGGCCCAGACUCCUACGGGAGGCAGCAGUGGGGAAUAUUGCACAAUGGGCGCAAGCCUGAUGCAGCAACGCCGCGUGAGGGAAGACGGUUUUCGGAUUGUAAACCUCUGUUCUUGGUGAAGAAACAAAUGACGGUAGCCAAGCAGCAAGCCACGGCUAACUACGUGCCAGCAGCCGCAGUAAGAC
rnacentral:rRNA from 1 species